GAAAGGAAAUGUAACAAUGUAACAAUGACAUUGUCUUGUAGCAUAAGACAUGAAAGCACAACCGUCAAGCUAUUCUGGGCUUAAAAGGCUGCUUCCUUUUCCUUUUUUAAGCAUGUUUAUUUCUUGCUUGGACAUUAUUUGGGGUAUUUUUAGUAUAUAUGAAAGGCUUUCCUGGAAACCGAGGCGAUGGAAACCCAGGGUGAAGAUCUUCCAGAGGGGAAAGGCCGACGCAAAUCAGAUGAAUGACAUCAAACACAUAAAAGUAUACUAUAGUGUGCAUAGGGUGGAUAUAUCACACUGAGUAUAAUGUAUAUCAUUAAUCAUUGUGUGUACGAUGCUGUUUAUGAUGUAUAGCAAUAUGUUGGUAUAUUUAAAAUGACAUUCAUGGCUUACUGUACACUCUAUCUACGGACUGUAUGUGCUGCACGCAUUGGGACUCCGCUGGGUUUACGCUUUGCCAUGUCUGCGUUUUGCGUGUCAGUGCUCGCUCAGAAGCAUGUGGGACAGGUCAGACGCGAUGGAGCCACCUCCGGUCCAAAGGCAUCCCAAGCAGGGACACUCCUCAUUUUCACUUGUUCACGCCAGACUUGGCCGAACUCCCAGGCUGCAAAGCAGGAGUGUAAGGCUGGCUUUCACAAUAUCGGAAGCACUGCAUCAAAGGUCACUGCAUUUUACCACUGAAAGACUAACAGCCUGUACUGUAGAGACUGGCAUUGCCUCUACACCAACAGAUGAGUAACGGGCUGUUCCAGAUGAUAAGGACUCAUGGGGAACGACGGACGAGAGGAGAACAUUUUUCUGACACGAUAUUCCGGAGCUCACUGAUCACCCAGGAGUCACUGGGCCUCUCCCACGCCCAGUACAGUGGGCUCGAGCUGCGGGGUGACCGCAGUGUCACUUUCCAGUGGGCUGACAAUGGAGGAGACAGCAGAAAGAGCAGAGAGAGAGAGAGAGGCGGAGAAACAGCCAAGGAUGCCGUUUGAUUAGUGGCCACAAAUAAGCCAGGGGGAAAAAUCUGAGGAAAUUCCUCUGCUUACAUUUCUGUGACAUCGCUGUUAUUUAUAGUAAAUGUAAUAUUUUGCUACUUUUCUUGUGAGAGAGAGGCGAAUUAGCCGAGCAGCAGCCAGAUAUGCUGUGUUACCAAAAUGUC